rnacentral:rRNA from 1 species
CAAUAGCGUAUAUUUAAGUUGUUGCAGUUAAAAAGCUCGUAGUUGGAUUUCGGGUGGGAACGACCGGUCAGCCGUUCUGGUGUGUACUGGUCGGUCCCAUCUUGCUGUCGGGGACGCGCUCCUGGCCUUAACUGGCUGGGACGUGGAGUCGGCGAUGUUACUUUGAAAAAAUUAGAGUGUUCAAAGCAGGCCUACGCUCUGAAUACAUUAGCAUGGAAUAACGCGAUAGGACUCUGGUCCUAUUGUGUUGGUCUUCGGGACCGGAGUAAUGAUUAAGAGGGACAGUUGGGGGCAUUCGUAUUUCAUUGUCAGAGGUGAAAUUCUUGGAUUUAUGAAAGACGAACUUCUGCGAAAGCAUUUGCCAAGGAUGUUUUCAUUAA